CAGUCGCCGCGGUAAUACAGAGGGUGCGAGCGUUAAUCGGAUUUACUGGGCGUAAAGCGUGCGUAGGCAGCUUCUUAAGUCGGAUGUGAAAUCCCUGAGCUUAACUUAGGAAUUGCAUUCGAUACUGGGAAGCUAGAGUAUGGGAGAGGAUGGUAGAAUUCCAGGUGUAGCGGUGAAAUGCGUAGAGAUCUGGAGGAAUACCGAUGGCGAAGGCAGCCAUCUGGCCUAAUACUGACGCUGAGGUACGAAAGCAUGGGGAGCAAACAGGAUUAGAUACCCCCGUAGUCCCUGUCUCUUAUAC
rnacentral:rRNA from 1 species